rnacentral:piRNA from 1 species
UAACAUUGUCAAAGCAGGGAAAGUCUGGGA